GAACCACUUCGGUGGGGAUUAGUGGCGAACGGGUGAGUAACACGUGGGCAAUCUGCCCUGCACUCUGGGACAAGCCCUGGAAACGGGGUCUAAUACCGGAUACGACCAUCUUGGGCAUCCUUGAUGGUGGAAAGCUCCGGCGGUGCAGGAUGAGCCCGCGGCCUAUCAGCUUGUUGGUGAGGUAAUGGCUCACCAAGGCGACGACGGGUAGCCGGCCUGAGAGGGCGACCGGCCACACUGGGACUGAGACACGGCCCAGACUCCUACGGGAGGCAGCAGUGGGGAAUAUUGCACAAUGGGCGAAAGCCUGAUGCAGCGACGCCGCGUGAGGGAUGACGGCCUUCGGGUUGUAAACCUCUUUCAGCAGGGAAGAAGCGAAAGUGACGGUACCUGCAGAAGAAGCGCCGGCUAACUACGUGCCAGCAGCCGCGGUAAUACGUAGGGCGCAAGCGUUGUCCGGAAUUAUUGGGCGUAAAGAGCUCGUAGGCGGCUUGUCACGUCGGUUGUGAAAGCCCGGGGCUUAACCCCGGGUCUGCAGUCGAUACGGGCAGGCUAGAGUUCGGUAGGGGAGAUCGGAAUUCCUGGUGUAGCGGUGAAAUGCGCAGAUAUCAGGAGGAACACCGGUGGCG
rnacentral:rRNA from 1 species